GUGCAUCCUUCGGCAAAUUAGGCCCCCACGGGCCAUGUGAUUGCUCUGAAAGAUGUACAGGUUUUCUAGUGUUUUUGAAAAUUACUGGGUCAAAUAUAAGGCUUGAUUUUCUGUUCUUUUCACAUUGAAAUUUGCCAGAUUGGUUGUUUGGCCUUUGAGAGCAUAUGGUAGCCCAGGAAUGAGAAUUGCCCCCAUAAUAACAUACCAUUUGCAAAAGAAGACAACCCAAGGUAUUGCAACUGGGGUAUGUCCAGUCUUUUUUAGUAGCCACUUAGUCACAAACACUGGCCAAAGUUAGCGUUCAUCAUUGUUUUUUGCAUUUUUAACACACAGCCAAAUAUGAAUGCUAACUUUAGCCAGUGUUUGUGACUAAGUGGCUACGAUAUGAUGAAAAUAAUGGUAUCUUUAGAAAGACCAUUUAAUGGCAAGAAAAACUGGUAUAUAAUUUGUGUGGGUACAGUAAACGAGUAAGAGGAUACUUACAGCUAAACACUAACACCGCAGAAAUGUAAAAACAGCCCUGGUCCUUAAUGGUAAGAAAAUUUAAAAACCGUCUGGUCACUAAGG